CGUGCCGUGAGGCGUAGGUUAAGUCCUUGAACGAGCGCAACCCACGUGGUUAUUUGCUCUUGGUCGCAAGGCCAAGCACUAUAACCAAAACCGCUACCGACGAGGUAGAGGAAGGUGUGGAUGACGUCAAAUCAUCACGCCCCUUAUGUCCAGGGCUACACACAUGCGACAAUGGUUGGAACAAUGAGUUGCAAACCAGUAAUGGCAAGCUAAUCUCCAACACCAGCCCCAGUACGGAUCGAGGGUUGAAACUCACCCUCGUGAAGAUGGAGUUGCUAGUAAACGCAAGUCAGCCAUAUUGCGUUGAAUACGUUCCCGGGCCUU
rnacentral:rRNA from 1 species